GUCAAACCCGAAGAAUGCGAAUCGUCCAAACCGGUCAUUCUUACUGCUUUUCGCCUUUUUGAUUUUUGACAAUCUUAAAAUAUGUUUUCUUCUCUUCAUCAAAAAAUAUGUUAAGACUUCUUUCAACAAUUGAUAUUUCUAUUAUUAUUUUAUUAUCAUUAAAAUAACUCAUUCCUAUCAUCAAAGGUUAAAAACUUAAUCGAAAACAAAGAUUCAAAUGAUUAUAAAAAUUUAAGUUAACACUUUACUAAAUACAACAUAUUGAUCAUCCUAAGAAACACUUUAAAAUAAUUUAUAAUUUUACAUGAGGGUUUUAUCACAACACCUAAAGAGCUAAUUUUUUUUAAAAUUUUUUUAGAACAACAUGUGUUUUAUACAUUAUAUAAGAGUCAAAUAAUGUUCUAUUUUGGCAUGCAAAGAGAGAGAAAUAUGGCUGAAAUCAAGUUUUUGUAUGUUGUAAUUUUAUUCCUUUUUCUUUUUAUUGUUCCAGAGAAAAUUGACGCUGCCCCCGCGGCAAUUCCUUGUGGAAAGGAUAGUGACUGUCCACCAAGAACUCCUAUCCGUAAAUAUAAGUGCAUUAGAAACAAAUGUAGACAUACUAGAGUGGUUACAUUUAGGUGACACAAAGAAGGAUACUAUUCUAUAAAAAAAAAAUUGUAACCGGUAUACUCUCUAGUAGAUUAGUCGGUACGAAAAGAAAGAUCCUAUUCUAUGAAAAAAAUUUAUUACAUUUACGUGAUACAAGGAAGAAUAAAUUCUUGUAAUAGAAAAAAAAAAACAAAAUUUUCAGUAUACUUAUUUUAUAGAAUAAUUCAUAAUUUAUUUAAAAAAAAUUAAUUUUACCAACCUUACCAUUAUUUCUUUGUA